rnacentral:rRNA from 1 species
GAUGAACGCUGGCGGCGUGCCUAAUACAUGCAAGUCGAGCGCGAGAGUGAGGAGCUUGCUCCUCAUGAUCGAGCGGCGGACGGGUGAGUAACACGUAGGCAACCUACCCUUGAGAUUGGGAUAACUACCGGAAACGGUAGCUAAUACCGGAUACGACUUUUCCACAUAAGUGGAAUGGUUAAAAGGCGGAUUUAUCUGCCGCUCAUGGAUGGGCCUGCGGUGCAUUAGCUAGUUGGUGAGGUAGUGGCUCACCAAGGCGACGAUGCAUAGCCGACCUGCGAGGGUGAUCGGCCACACUGGGACUGAGACACGGCCCAGACUCCUACGGGAGGCAGCAGUAGGGAAUCUUCCGCAAUGGACGCAAGUCUGACGGAGCAACGCCGCGUGAGUGAUGAAGGGUUUCGGCUCGUAAAACUCUGUUGUUAAGGAAGAACACUUGAGGUAGUAACUGGCCUUGAGAUGACGGUACUUAACCAGAAAGCCACGGCUAACUACGUGCCAGCCGCCGCAGUAA